rnacentral:rRNA from 1 species
AUGAACGCUGGCGGCGUGCCUCAUCCAUGCAAGUCGAGCGAACGGACGAGAAGCUUGCUUCUCUGAUGUUAGCGGCGGACGGGUGAGUAACACGUGGAUAACCUACCUAUAAGACUGGGAUAACUUCGGGAAACCGGAGCUAAUACCGGAUAAUAUUUUGAACCGCAUGGUUCAAAAGUGAAAGACGGUCUUGCUGUCACUUAUAGAUGGAUCCGCGCUGCAUUAGCUAGUUGGUAAGGUAACGGCUUACCAAGGCAACGAUGCAUAGCCGACCUGAGAGGGUGACCGGCCACACUGGAACUGAGACACGGUCCAGACUCCUACGGGAGGCAGCAGUAGGGAAUCUUCCGCAAUGGGCGAAAGCCUGACGGAGCAACGCCGCGUGAGUGAUGAAGGUCUUCGGAUCGUAAAACUCUGUUAUUAGGGAAGAACAUAUGUGUAAGUAACUGUGCACAUCUUGACGGUACCUAAUCAGAAAGCCACGGCUAACUACGUG